rnacentral:misc_RNA from 1 species
AAGCGAUUCAAUUCAAUUUUAGCUAUAAAUAAAUUACAUUUUGCUAGUUCGUUACAUGUAACAUGCAGUCACAAACUCCAACACUGCACUGAAACGUAUAUAUCCGGAAUAAUAUAAGUGACAAACGCGGGAAUUCCCGUAAAAAUAGGUGUGUUAAAAACACAUUAAAUUUUUUUUAGUAAACCGAAGAAUGCAUAACUAAAUUUUUAGCAUCAAAACAGAGUAAUAAAACAUUUUCCCACACAUUACAAGAGUGUUAUAGAACUGCGUAGUGUGGUUCAAUUCGCGAGGGGUGGCGCAUCGCUUAAUUAAUUCACGCCCACCGCGGAUCGAACUCGCGACCCUGUAGAUUAGAAUGGGGCUACGGAACAAGCGAAUUGAAAUCACCUUAUAAACGUAGACUUGUAUAAUAUUAGUUUCUGCCCGCAACUUCGCCCGCAUGAAAUAGGAACAAUUCUGUCAUGCAUGAUUUUUGCGAAUCUUUUACUGUUUACGCAGCGCAUGCAGCG